UAUUGGGCAAUGCCCGCAAGGGUGACCCAGCAACGCCGCGUGGAGGAUGAAUGCCGUAAGGUUGUAAACUCCUGUUAGAGGGGAAGAAUAAUUCCGAUAAUAUCGGAACAUGACUGUACCCUCAGAGAAAGCUCCGGCUAACUACGUGCCAGCAGCCGCGGUAAUACGUAGGGGGCAAGCGUUGUCCGGAUUUACUGGGUGUAAAGGGCGCGCAGGCGGGUUUGAAAGUCAGGGGUGAAAGCCUACAGCUUAACUGUAGAAUUGCCUUUGAUACUUUAAACCUUGAGUACGGAAGAGAGAGACGGAAUUCCAGGUGUAGUGGUGAAAUACGUAGAUAUCUGGAAGAACACCAGUUGCGAAGGCGGUCUCUUGGUCCGUUACUGACGCUCAGGCGCGAAAGCGUGGGGAGCAAACA
rnacentral:rRNA from 1 species